CCUGUCACCGGUAAGGGACCCAAAGACAAGAGUUGGGCUCAGGCAACCAAGGGGCUUUGGACUCGCCAUGCUGACGGGUCGCCUGUUGAAGGAGGGGAGUCGACGAUGGGGCAGAGCUGGACAC
rnacentral:SRP_RNA from 1 species